rnacentral:rRNA from 1 species
ACGAACGCUGGCGGCGUGCUUAACACAUGCAAGUCGAGCGAGGCCCUUCCUUCGGGAAGGUGCCCUAGCGGCGAACGGGUGAGUAACACGUGGGCAACCUGCCCCUAGCACUGGGAUAACUCCGGGAAACCGGGGCUAAUACCGGAUAUGACCUUCGAGGGCAUCCUCGUUGGUGUAAAGGAUUCUGGCUAGGGAUGGGCCCGCGGCCUAUCAGCUUGUUGGUGGGGUAACGGCCUACCAAGGCGACGACGGGUAGCCGGCCUGAGAGGGCGACCGGCCACACUGGGACUGAGACACGGCCCAGACUCCUACGGGAGGCAGCAGUGGGGAAUAUUGCACAAUGGGCGAAAGCCUGAUGCAGCGACGCCGCGUGAGGGAUGACGGCCUUCGGGUUGUAAACCUCUUUCAGCAGGGACGAAGCGAAAGUGACGGUACCUGCAGAAGAAGCACCGGCCAACUACGUGCCAGCCGCCGCCGUAACAC